rnacentral:rRNA from 1 species
GAUGAACGCUGGCGGCGUGCCUAAUACAUGCAAGUCGAGCGAACAGACGAGGAGCUUGCUCCUCUGACGUUAGCGGCGGACGGGUGAGUAACACGUGGAUAACCUACCUAUAAGACUGGGAUAACUUCGGGAAACCGGAGCUAAUACCGGAUAAUAUAUUGAACCGCAUGGUUCAAUAGUGAAAGACGGUUUUGCUGUCACUUAUAGAUGGAUCCGCGCCGCAUUAGCUAGUUGGUAAGGUAACGGCUUACCAAGGCAACGAUGCGUAGCCGACCUGAGAGGGUGAUCGGCCACACUGGAACUGAGACACGGUCCAGACUCCUACGGGAGGCAGCAGUAGGGAAUCUUCCGCAAUGGGCGAAAGCUUGACGGAGCAACGCCGCGUGAGUGAUGAAGGUCUUCGGAUCGUAAAACUCUGUUAUUAGGGAAGAACAAAUGUGUAAGUACCUAUGCACGUCUUGACGGUACCUAAUCAGAAAGCCACGGCUAACUCCGUG